rnacentral:rRNA from 1 species
AUGAACGCUGGCGGCGUGCCUAAUACAUGCAAGUCGAGCGAACAGAUGAGGAGCUUGCUCCUCUGACGUUAGCGGCGGACGGGUGAGUAACACGUGGAUAACCUACCUAUAAGACUGGGAUAACUUCGGGAAACCGGAGCUAAUACCGGAUAAUAUAUUGAACCGCAUGGUUCAAUAGUGAAAGACGGUUUUGCUGUCACUUAUAGAUGGAUCCGCGCCGCAUUAGCUAGUUGGUAAGGUAACGGCUUACCAAGGCAACGAUGCGUAGCCGACCUGAGAGGGUGAUCGGCCACACUGGAACUGAGACACGGUCCAGACUCCACGGGAGGCAGCAGUAGGGAAUCUUCCGCAAUGGGCGAAAGCCUGACGGAGCAACGCCGCGUGAGUGAUGAAGGUCUUCGGAUCGUAAAACUCUGUUAUUAGGGAAGAACAAAUGUGUAAGUAACUAUGCACGUCUUGACGGUACCUAAUCAGAAAGCCACGGCUAACUACGUG